rnacentral:rRNA from 1 species
AAUAGAUACCCUGGUAGUCCACGCCGUAAACGAUGUCGACUUGGAGGUUGUUCCCUUGAGGAGUGGCUUCCGGAGCUAACGCGUUAAGUCGACCGCCUGGGGAGUACGGCCGCAAGGUUAAAACUCAAAUGAAUUGACGGGGGCCCGCACAAGCGGUGGAGCAUGUGGUUUAAUUCGAUGCAACGCGAAGAACCUUACCUACUCUUGACAUCCACGGAACUUUUCAGAGAUGAAUUGGUGCCUUCGGGAACCGUGAGACAGGUGCUGCAUGGCUGUCGUCAGCUCGUGUUGUGAAAUGUUGGGUUAAGUCCCGCAACGAGCGCAACCCUUAUCCUUUGUUGCCAGCGGUUAGGCCGGGAACUCAAAGGAGACUGCCAGUGAUAAACUGGAGGAAGGUGGGGAUGACGUCAAGUCAUCAUGGCCCUUACGAGUAGGGCUACACACGUGCUACAAUGGCGCAUACAAAGAGAAGCGACCUCGCGAGAGCAAGCGGACCUCAUAAAGUGCGUCGUAGUCCGGAUUGGAGU